rnacentral:rRNA from 1 species
CAGAGGGGGAUAACGUUUGGAAACGAACGCUAAUACCGCAUGAUAUUAUUGAGCUGCAUGGCUUGAUAAUCAAAGGAGCAAUCCGCUGAAAGAUGGGCUCGCGUCCGAUUAGGUAGUUGGCGGGGCAACGGCCCACCAAGCCGACGAUCGGUAGCCGGACUGAGAGGUUGAACGGCCACAUUGGGACUGAGACACGGCCCAGACUCCUACGGGAGGCAGCAGUGAGGGAUAUUGGUCAAUGGGGGAAACCCUGAACCAGCAACGCCGCGUGAGGGAAGACGGUUUUCGGAUUGUAAACCUCUGUCCUCUGUGAGGAUGAUGACGGUAGCAGAGGAGGAAGCUCCGGCUAACUACGUGCCAGCAGCCGCGGUAAUACGUAGGGAGCAAGCGUUGUCCGGAUUUACUGGGUGUAAAGGGUGCGUAGGCGGCUUUGCAAGUCAGAAGUGAAAUCCAUGGGCUUAACCCAUGAACUGCUUUUGAAACUGCAGAGCUUGAGUGGAGUAGAGGUAGGCGGAAUUCCCGGUGUAGCGGUGAAAUGCGUAGAGAUCGGGAGGAACACCAGUGGCGAAGGCGGCCUGCUGGGCUCUAACUGACGCUGAGGCACGAAAGCGUGGGUAGCAAACAGGAUUAGAUACCCUGGUAGUCCACGCUGUAAACGAUGAUUACUAGGUGUGGGUGGACUGACCCCAUCCGUGCCGGAGU